UUCUUCUUCUUCUAGCUUUUCUCUUAUUUUUCUGUUUUGGUGACAUAACCAAAGGCCAGAGCUGCUUCAUCUUCAUUUGUUGGCAUUUGCCUUGUUCUUUUUUUAGUAAUGCCGUUUUCACUGUGACUGGUUUAGUGAUGCCGCCAAAAAAUUCUUGAAUGGCUGAUGCCUGAUAGGGCAAUGAAGCCUUUCAGCAUUUCCGAAGAUCAGACAAAGGCAGCGGUCAAAGAACUUCUGAAAGUCUAUGCAAACAGCUUGGGAGUUUAUUAUUGAUGAAAAUUAGACUUUUGCUGGACUUUGUUCUGGACCAGAAGCCAGAGGGGGAAAAGUUGAUCUGAAAAUUAUUAAUCUAUGAUGGUGCAUCAUCCUCAGCCUCCAAUAACCACAAAAAACGGAAGCCCAGACUUGGCAGAUCCCUCUGUCGUUGUCUUUGUGUUAAGGCCCUGCAAAGUACCGAUUUCAGCUGAGAUUGGAGAAAGAUUGGCUUGCUAUGAAGGUAGAAAUGAGAAAGAAUGACAUGCUUUGCUGCCAUGGCCCCUCAAGAGAAGAAUUUUCAAUAUCAAGAUGGAUGAUACAAUAUCAAAUAUUACUGUGUGGUUGGAAUUGAGCACAUUGAGAGGCAGUUCUUGGCCAGUAUGUAACUUCUCUGGAUAGGCCUUGGGUAUCAUUUAGACGCUAAUCAAACAGAAGAAGAAGAAGAAGGAAGAAGGAAGAAGGAAGAGAAUGAGAGAGUCACAGAUGUAGACGAAGUCAUGGUUUUUGCUCUGUGGUUCUGGCUAUGGCUCAGAGAGAGAGACUUUGUGAGAACCUGUGAGACCGUUCGGGCUCUUUGGUUUUAUCGGAUAGGAGAGCUGGGCUUUGAGCUUCUCGUCUACACAAGAGGACAGGUCCAAUCUUGGCUGUUGACUGAUGUGUUCUGGGUUUAAUAUGGAAUAUUGG